UCCGGCUUGUCGCCGGCGGUCCCUUUAGAGUGCCCAACCAAAUGAUGGCAACUAAAGGCGAGGGUUGCGCUCGUUGCGGGACUUAACCCAACAUCUCACGACACGAGCUGACGACAGCCAUGCAGCACCUGUCUCCGCGCCCCUUGCGGGGACCGCGCAUCUCUGCGCGUAGCACGGGAUGUCAAGGCCUGGUAAGGUUCUGCGCGUUGCGUCGAAUUAAACCACAUGCUCCACCGCCUGUGCGGGCCCCCGUCAAUUCCUUUGAGUUUCAGCCUUGCGGCCGUACCCCCCAGGCGGGGCACUUAAUGCGUUAGCGCCGGCACCCGGAGGGUCGCUCCCCCGGGCACCUAGUGCCCAUCGUUUACGGCGUGGACUAC
rnacentral:misc_RNA from 1 species